rnacentral:misc_RNA from 1 species
UUGUGGAGGAGGACGCCGAAGGUGGGGCUAAUGACUGGGGUGAAGUCGUAACAAGGUAGCCGUACCGGAAGGUGCGGCUGGAUCACCUCCUAACAGGGAGACAACAAAAUGUAAAUAUUAAUUUUGUCACCUUAGGUCGAUCGGUAUCUCAGAUUCUUAAUUUUUGAGAAUUUCAGUUUCUAAGUUUUUUCUAGGUCACACCCAUUACUUUUUCCUGGGCCAUUAGCUCAGGUGGUUAGAGCGCACCCCUGAUAAGGGUGAGGUCCCUGGUUCAAGUCCAGGAUGGCCCAUAUCUCUAUGUUGGGGGUAUAGCUCAGUUGGUAGAGCGCCUGCUUUGCAAGCAGGAUGUCAGCGGCUCGAGUCCGCUUACCUCCACUGAAUACCACCUCUCACAUAUUUUUAAGGGAAAUUGUUUUGAGUCCUGCCCAAACUUUCUGAACGAAUCUAGCUUCCUAUUUUAUUUAAUUAAUAAGAUGCUGGACUCAUUGAAUUUAUAUUCAUUGUUUUCAGAGAACCUUGACAACUGCAUAGAUUAUUUUAAAGACAAUAAGCAUCUUUAAUGAUGCAGAUUUAUUAUUUGUGCGAAUGCAUUAAAUAACAAUUCUAUUAAGCUGAUGCUUCAAUUAUUGAAGUUAUUGGUCAAGCUACAA